rnacentral:rRNA from 1 species
UACGGGGGGGGUAAGCGUUGUUCGGAAUUACUGGGCGUAAAGGGCUCGUAGGCGGCCAACUAAGUCAGACGUGAAAUCCCUCAGCUUAACUGGGGAACUGCGUCUGAUACUGGAUGGCUUGGGUUCGGGAGAGGUGAGUGGAACUGCGAGUGUAGAGGUGAAAUUCGUAGAUAUUCGCAAGAACACCAGUGGCGAAGGCGGCUCACUGGCCCGAUACUGACGCUGAGGUGCGAAAGCGUGGGGAGCAAACAGG